rnacentral:rRNA from 1 species
AUUCGGGCUCGUCCGAUCCUCCCACCCUUUGUAUACCUACCUCUGUUGCUUUGGCGGGCCGCGGUCUUCCGCGGCCGCCCCCCGAUUUUGGGGGGUGGCUAGUGCCCGCCAGAGGACUAUCAAACUCCAGUCAGUAAACGUUGCAGUCUGAAAAAAAUAUUAAAUAAACUAAAACUUUCAACAACGGAUCUCUUGGUUCUGGCAUCGAUGAAGAACGCAGCGAAAUGCGAUAAGUAAUGUGAAUUGCAAAAUUCAGUGAAUCAUCGAAUCUUUGAACGCACAUUGCGCCCCUUGGUAUUCCGGGGGGCAUGCCUGUUCGAGCGUCAUUUCAACCCUCAAGCUCUGCUUGGUAUUGGGCACCGUCCUUUGCGGGCGCGCCUCAAAGACCUCGGCGGUGGCGUCUUGCCUCAAGCGUAGUAAAAUACACCUCGCUUCGGAGCGUAAGGCGUCGCCCGCCGGACGAACCUUCUGAACUUUUCUCAAGGUUGACCUCGGAUCAGGUAGGGAUACCCGCUGAACUUAAGCAUAUC